AUUGAACGCUGGCGGCAUGCCUUACACAUGCAAGUCGAACGGUAACGCGGGGCAACCUGGCGACGAGUGGCGAACGGGUGAGUAAUGCAUCGGAACGUGCCCAGUAGUGGGGGAUAGCCCGGCGAAAGCCGGAUUAAUACCGCAUACGACCUACGGGUGAAAGCGGGGGAUCGUAAGACCUCGCGCUAUUGGAGCGGCCGAUGUCAGAUUAGGUAGUUGGUGAGGUAAAGGCUCACCAAGCCUUCGAUCUGUAGCUGGUCUGAGAGGACGACCAGCCACACUGGGACUGAGACACGGCCCAGACUCCUACGGGAGGCAGCAGUGGGGAAUUUUGGACAAUGGGCGCAAGCCUGAUCCAGCCAUGCCGCGUGCGGGAAGAAGGCCUUCGGGUUGUAAACCGCUUUUGUCAGGGAAGAAACGCUCUGGGCUAGUACCCCGGGGUAAUGACGGUACCUGAAGAAUAAGCACCGGCUAACUACGUGCCAGCAGCCGCGGUAAUACGUAGGGUGCAAGCGUUAAUCGGAAUUACUGGGCGUAAAGCGUGCGCAGGCGGUUAUGCAAGACAGAUGUGAAAUCCCCGGGCUUAACCUGGGAACUGCAUUUGUGACUGCAUAGCUAGAGUGCGGCAGAGGGGGAUGGAAUUCCGCGUGUAGCAGUGAAAUGCGUAGAUAUGCGGAGGAACACCGAUGGCGAAGGCAAUCCCCUGGGCCUGCACUGACGCUCAUGCACGAAAGCG
rnacentral:rRNA from 1 species